rnacentral:rRNA from 1 species
CACGCCGUAAACGAUGAGUGCUAGGUGUUGGGGGUAUUGACCCCCCCAGUACCGCAGCUAACGCGUUAAGCACUCCGCCUGGGGAGUACGGCCGCAAGGCUAAAACUCAAAGGAAUUGACGGGGGCCCGCACAAGCGGUGGAGUAUGUGGUUUAAUUCGACGCAACGCGCAAAACCUUACCUGGGUUAAAUCCACAAGAACCUUCCAGAGAUGGAGGGGUGCCUUCGGGAGCUUGUGAGAAGGUGC